rnacentral:lncRNA from 1 species
CGUGUUUAACCAACUUAACCAACCAACCAACCAACCAAUCAAUCAAUCAAUGCAUGUUUCCGUUUCAUGUGUUAAAUACGGGAUCCAAGAUGGUUUUUUUUCGCUUGUUUAAAUUGAGCCUAUCUAACGUGUUUAACCAGCCAACGUGUUUAACCAGCCAACGUGUUUAACCAACAUGUUUAACCAACGUGUUUAACCAACUUACCAACCAACCAACCAACCAAUCAAUCAAUCAAUGCAUGUUUCCGUUUCAUGUGUUAAAUACGGGAUCCAAGAUGGUUUUUUUUCCGCUUGUUUAAAUUGAGCCUAUCUAACGUGUUUAACCAGCCAACGUGUUUAACCAACAUGUUUAACCAACGUGUUUAACCAACUUACCAACCAACCAACCAACCAACCAAUCAAUCAAUCAAUGCAUGUUUCCGUUUCAUGUGUUAAAUACGGGAUCCAAGAUGGUUUUUUUUCGCUUGUUUUAAAUUGAGCCUAUCUAACGUGUUUAACCAGCCAACGUGUUUAACCAACGUGUUUAACCAACUGUUUAACCAACCAACCAACCAACCAACCAACCAACCAACCAACCAAUCAAUCAAUCAAUGCAUGUUUCCGUUUCAUGUGUUAAAUACGGGAUCCAAGAUGUUUUUUUUUUCGCUUGUUUAAAUUGAGCCUAUCAAACGUGUUUAACCAUCCAACGUGUUUAACCAGCCAACGUGUUUAACCAACAUGUUUAACCAACCAACCAACCAACCAACCAACCAAUCAAUCAAUCAAUGCAUGUUUCCGUUUCAUGUGUUAAAUACGGGAUCCAAGAUGUUUUUUUUUCGCUUGUUUAAAUUGAGCCCAUCAAACGUGUUUAACCAGCCAACGUGUUUAACCAACGUGUUAAACCAACAUGUUUAACCAACGUGUUUAACCAACCAACCAACCAACCAACCAACCAACCAAUCAAUCACUUAAUGUAUGUUUCCGUGUCAUGCGUUUAAUACGGGAUGCAAGGUCUCUUGAGGUCUUUUUCCCCUUGUUCUAAGUGACCCUAUCAAACGUGUUUAAUCAACCAACCAACCAACCAACCAACCAACCAACCAAUCAAUCAACCAACUAAUCAAUCAAUCAAUAUGUAUGACUGUUUAUUUAUGACAGUUUAUUGAAGGAACAAACUCUCAAUUAUUCAAGAAAAUUUUUAUUUUAUUAUUGUUCUUACGUCUCUUCUGAAAAAAAAAUCCACAUAUUCUCUGAAACUACAAGUCCAAUCGACCUGAAAAUUUGCAGUCAGCAGGGCAUACAUGUACUGAAGGUUCAUAAAAAAAACUUUUUGCAGAUAUCUCUCAAGACUUUUCCUAGAAAAAAAGAAAUGGCAAUGCCAGUAAAAAUCGCUUGCUAGGUCCGUCAAUCUCAGUAAAAACCUACAAUAAAAUGUCCGCUCCGAGAUUGAAAUACUAAUCUGUGUUACAAA